UAUGGCCAGAUCAUGUUGAAACACUGAUUCCCAUAUGAUCACUGAAACUAAGCAACAUCAAGCCUAGUUAGUACCUAGAUGGGUGACCACAUGGGAAUACCAGGUGCUGUAAU